GACGAACGCUGGCGGCGUGCUUAACACAUGCAAGUCGAACGGAGCACCUUUGAAAGAGACUUCGGUCAAUGGAUGAGACUGCUUAGUGGCGGACGGGUAAGUAACGCGUGAGGAACCCUGCCUUUCAGAGGGGGACAAACAGUUGGAAACGACUGACUAAUACCGCAUUGAUGCAUGAUCAGGGCAUCCCUGGACAUCGCCAAAGGAUUUAUCGCUGAAAGAUGGCCUCGCGUCUGAUUAGCUAGUUGGUGAGGUAACGGCCCACCAAGGCGACGAUCAGUAGCCGGACUGAGAGGUUGACCGGCCACAUUGGGACUGAGAUACGGCCCAG
rnacentral:rRNA from 1 species